UACGUAGGGUGCGAGCGUUGUCCGGAAUUACUGGGCGUAAAGAGCUCGUAGGCGGUUUGUCGCGUCGUCUGUGAAAUUCUGCAACUCAAUUGCAGGCGUGCAGGCGAUACGGGCAGACUUGAGUACUACAGGGGAGACUGGAAUUCCGUGGUGUAGCGGUGAAAUGCGCAGAUAUCAGGAGGAACACCGGUGGCGAAGGCGGGUCUCUGGGUAGUAACUGACGCUGAGGAGCGAAAGCGUGGGUAGCGAACAGG
rnacentral:rRNA from 1 species